rnacentral:rRNA from 1 species
GACGAACGCUGGCGGCGUGCUUAACACAUGCAAGUCGAACGGAAAGGCCCUGCUUUUGUGGGGUGCUCGAGUGGCGAACGGGUGAGUAACACGUGAGUAACCUGCCCUUGACUUUGGGAUAACUUCAGGAAACUGGGGCUAAUACCGGAUAGAAGUCCCUGCUGCUGGGGGGGGGUUGGAAAGUUUCGGCGGUUGGGGAUGGACUCGCGGUUUAUCAGCUUGUUGGUGGGGUAGUGGCUUACCAAGGUUUUGCCGGGUAGCCGGCCUGAGAGGGUGACCGGCCACAUUGGGACUGAGAUACGGCCCAGACUCCUACGGGAGGCAGCAGUGGGGAAUAUUGCACAAUGGGCGGAAGCCUGAUGCAGCAACGCCGCGUGCGGGAUGACGGCCUUCGGGUUGUAAACCGCUUUCGCCUGUGACGAAGCGUGAGUGACGGUAAUGGGUAAAGAAGCACCGGCUAACUACGUG